CACAUGGAUGUCUGGUUAUUUUUGUCAUUGGAAUUUCACUGCUUCUGUUGUAAAAUUAUGUACGAUCACGGUUAUUAGCGCAGAGGAUUUUCCUCCAUGUAGAGUAGCCUAAUAGGCAGAAAUAAACCUGUUUCGAAUGUUGUUAUUUUCUUAAGUGAUCAUGUAUCUAUAGUAUGCACUUCUGCACCUAAUAGGAACUCACGUCUUAUAGCAA
rnacentral:misc_RNA from 1 species